rnacentral:lncRNA from 1 species
UUAUCUGUCUCCAGACAGUCUAGACUAGGUGCCAUCAAACUUGUUCUGUAAAAGGCCAGAUAAUAAACAUACUGGCCUUUGCAGGCCUUAUGGUUUCUGUUGCAAUGACUAGGCUUUACAUGUGAUUGGGUUUCAAUAAAACUUCAUUUUCAAAACCAGGCAGUAACCGGGAUUUGGGUCAUGGGUUUUGAUAAAUGCUAAGGGAAAUACUAUUUUUUCUUGGUCGCCCUCUUCAUCAUAAACCAGCAGACUAAAGAACAGAUUUCAGCCUCAUGGUACUAAUUUCUGGGCCCCUGAAGGUACAGUCCCUCUCUCCCAGGUUCUUGAUUAAAGAGACUGAAUCCCAUAUUCCAGAACCCUCCCUAGAUCUGGUGGACAUGGAAGAACCAUGAGUUCUGACUUAUGUUGCUGACUAUUAUGUGGGAACGCCUGAAUUCCUGUCUGAGUUUAGAGAAUUUGGAAAACAAACCUUGGUUGAUAAGAUAUAUGAAACAUACAUACACACACACACACACACACACACACACACACACACAAACACAUAAAUAAAUUAAGGAGGACGCUUUUGAGUGUUUAAAUUCUUAGGACUGCAGCAGCAAGUUUAGCAAAGAACACAGUAGGAGCUCGAUCCAGUUUGGCAAAGGGUCUGGCUAAGUCAAAACUGUGCAAUUAUCAUUCCUGGUUGUUGGGGUUUUAGAAUUCUCUAUUCAUGCUAAUGACAUUGCAAUGAACAAAACCACAUCAGUGAAGAACAGCAAAAGUCAAGGGUGGAGCAACGCAGCUUUAUUUCACAAGCCCCUCCUUGGGGAAGGCAUUAGAGCUACAGUUUGGAAGAGGUUUGCAUGGAAGAAAGGGAGAAACUGUGAACAGGGCUGGUUUGUCAAAGAAAGACAUAAACCAGUGGUGUGUGCCUGGGAACACUAUGGAUAUGAAACUUGUCUACUGUUCUCCCAUUAGCAUGCAGUCUUGCCUGAAAUAAACAAAGCACAUGUUUUGGAGUCCACAUUGUUUCUCCUGUCUUGCCUCUACUGUGCUGCAGGGAAGGAGGGUGCCUGGGAGACAGCAAGGCUCAUUCUACUGGAGGCUUUUAUGAUUUGGAUGGGGCUGCUGACCAAUAUGCCUGGAGAUACCCCAACUGUCCUCUACGACCAUUACUUCUACUGCAGAGGUCAAGUCUUUCCCAAAGAAACAGAACAAAGGACCAUCACUGGUUUUGUGUUCCCUUUGUUUUGUUUUUAAUAUAUAAUUUGUCUAGGAGGCAGAGAACCUGGGUUUGAGCCCCAACUCUGCACUCCCUCGCUGUGCAUCUUUAGGUGAGGUCAUAUCCCCUCUGUGGCUUCAGUUUCCAUAUUACUGGACUAAGUAGCAAUUUAUGAUCCACUACAGUUGUAAAAGCCAGGGAAUAUAUAAUUCUGUUGGUUAUAUGCCUCAUAUUGCACAUAUUAAAUAUGUGCAUAUAUGUGCCUCAUAUGCAUAUUGCAUAUAUUGCAUUAAAGAGCAUAAUACAGGGAUAUUUGACUAUUAUAAUAUACAAAUAAGACAAUGGAGGAAUUUGCCUCUAUCUUGUGGUGAAUACAGAGGUAAGAUGCCUGGGAAGACUGUCAAAAGAUUGGCAGUGAUUCAGUGAUUACCUCCUUGCAUCUCUCUCUCUAGAGGUAUCUAGUGUCCUUUCUAAAGAAAAUAAGGUCCCUUUCAUUAAAGAAGGUAUUAAAUCGAUGACAUAAGACUUGCAAAAGUGUAUCUGCAGUAUUUUCUAAUUCAUUCAUUUGUUCAUUCAUUAAACAAAUUUUGUUUAUGCCAAGCUCCACUGAGUCCUGCAGUAAGGGAACAGCAACAGGGGUGGACAUGGAUAGCGUAUGCCCUCGAGGAAUCUAUAAUGCAGUGCACUCAAGUGGCCCAGGGCACAUGGAGAGGCCAACAAUGGCAUCUAAUGUGUGCCAGGCAUGGACUAGCUUCUUUAUGUUUAUUUUCAUAUUUAAUCCUUAAAGAAUUCUGAUUUUAAAAUGAGAAAAAUGAGACUCUAAGAAAUUAAUUUGCCCCAGGUCACACCACUAGGAAACUGCAGAACCUUCAUCUUACUUAUUUCACUUCUCUUGCUUUGCUAAAUGCCACAAGUGUAGAGAUAAGGGAGUUCACAGGCAGGGUAUCUAGCUUAGAGGUCUUUAUGGGAGUAUUCACAGAGGAGCGCAGAGGCUGAAGGAUGGAUGAGAUGUCAUAUCAGGAAAUGGGGUUAGGAAAAGAGGGAAGGAGGAAUUCCAUUUUUAUAGGGUGUUGCAUGCAGCAAUCCACACUUAUCUAAAAAAAAAAUUUCAAAUGGUGAAAUUCUGGAUGCUGUAGAAAGUUGAAAGGGAAAAAUAUUCAGGGGUAAGGGGCAUUCAAGGAUUUCCCCAGUCCACACUGUCAUACCAUUCCUAAGCCAGCCCUAAGAAGACUGGCUGUGAAGGCCUCUCAGGGAUACGCCGUCCUCAGAAUGGACACAUGUGUGGUCAUCACUGCCUGAGCUGUGGGACUGUCCAGCUCUACCCCAGACUCGGAUGUCAGCCCAAAGAUAUUAAGCUGGGAAGUUGAUCAAGGGCAGUGUUGAGGAUAUUAGCAACCCAUCCAGCGGCCCAGAGCAAUUUAUGAGAAUUCUAAUUAGAUACAAGGACUUCUGUGACCACACAAACACUUUCUAUUCUGCCUGCCAGCACGGGGUCCCCUGCCGUCAAAAGCUAUCUUGUAUGCUUCAGUGGAAGAUACAAGGCCAACAAAAAAAGGACUCAGGAUGCCAACACUGACCCACUCAGAGGGAGAAAAGAGACAUUCAGAAUUGGUCAUGGCUUUCCGGGAAGAUCAUCUGGAGACACCCCCUGGACCAAUGGCAUUUUCUCUCCCAAGUCUUAUGCCUCCCGAUGGCCUCAAGAGAUGAAGCUGAAUAGAGACAUUUCCCAAACCCAAGUCUGACCAGGAAGGCAAUGAGCCAGAACAGAAAAUAUCGAUGAGAACCUAGAUGUUCUAUCAAACCAAACCCUUGCCAGGAAGAGGAACACAUUAGCACUUGAGGUCAGUUGGCAUGUUUGGGCAACUGUGGAACAGGGAACACAAUUCAGAUUUAUCUUCACCAGCUCCAUGAGUGAAGCCCGGUCAUGGGACCUCUCUGAGCUUCAGUAUUCUCAUCUGUAAGAUGGGAAAUAAAUAAUAACUUAUUACAGGGCUGGCUGUUGGAUGGAUUAAAAUGGAAGUGAAGGUGUUUUGCUUGUAAUUGCAGAUGCUGGUGGGAUUUAGGAGAUUAUCUGGCAGUGGUGGUAUCAUUAUGCAGAGAAGCAGUGGAGGUGUGGAUCACCACCGGGUACCCAUCGGGGAAGGGCAUUCAUGAUCCCCAGAAAUGGCACCACUGAGGCAUGACAAGCUUUGAAAUUGUUUACUUGGGCAAGAGACACUCAACCUAUACAGGGACUACCUGCCAUCAGCACAGAAUGGUCUAAAACUGGCUUUGGGAAAAUGGCCUAGAAUCACAUUUUGAUUCUGGGUUUGUGAAUACAAACUCUAAAGUCAGAGUUAUACCAACAUUGAUGAAUUUUCACAAAGGAAGCAUUUUUCAAAGCAAACUCCCUUAAGCUAAUUUAAUUCCUCGAUCGAUGUCUUGCAUAGCGUAGUUAAAUUGUUUCCAACUUUUUUGGAAACAUUUUUACUGGGGUCAAUUCUUUUGUGUUUAAAUUUUAUAAAUAUUUGCUUCAUUGAUCAGGAUUUGGACCACAACAAAUUUUACUAAUUUAUAACUUCUGCCAUUUUGAGUUUUCUUUUGUGGUUAUUAUUUCCACCAAGUCAAGUCCAUUUCUCCUGGGUCAAAAUUGUACAGAGAUCCAAAAUUAGCUAAGAAGAUUUGAGUCAUCUAUGGAUUUUUAGUCAAUACCAAAUUUCACCCUGUGUGCUUUCAGCUCUUGUCAGUUUAUUUUGUGUGGCUUAUUUUUUUUACCAAUAAUAUUCACUGUGAAUUGGGCAAAAAAGAUGGAUGGUUAAUAUUUAUUUUUUUAGCUGAUAAUAAAUCCUGAGUGAUUUUGUAAGACAGAGGCAGAGAGAAGCAGAGAAGGGGAGAGGAUAGAAGAGAGGAAGAGAACUAGGGAGGAGGAAGAGAUCCAGAUGGAAGGAGGUACCAAGCAAAACAUGAAGACGGAGACAGAAAGAGAGAAAAACGAUGAGAAAGAGAAAGUGAGGAAGAGAAACAGAGAAG